rnacentral:rRNA from 1 species
GGUACUCGAGUGGCGAACGGGUGAGUAACACGUGAGUAACCUGCCCUUGACUUCGGGAUAACUUCAGGAAACUGGGGCUAAUACCGGAUAGGAAUCCUUGCUGCAUGGUGGGGGUUGGAAAGUUUCGGCGGUUGGGGAUGGACUCGCGGCUUAUCAGCUUGUUGGUGGGGUAGUGGCUUACCAAGGCUUUGACGGGUAGCCGGCCUGAGAGGGUGACCGGCCACAUUGGGACUGAGAUACGGCCCAG